GAUGAACGCUGGCGGCGUGCCUAAUACAUGCAAGUCGAGCGAACAGACGAGGAGCUUGCUCCUCUGACGUUAGCGGCGGACGGGUGAGUAACACGUGGAUAACCUACCUAUAAGACUGGGAUAACUUCGGGAAACCGGAGCUAAUACCGGAUAAUAUAUUGAACCGCAUGGUUCAAUAGUGAAAGACGGUUUUGCUGUCACUUAUAGAUGGAUCCGCGCCGCAUUAGCUAGUUGGUAAGGUAACGGCUUACCAAGGCAACGAUGCGUAGCCGACCUGAGAGGGUGAUCGGCCACACUGGAACUGAGACACGGUCCAGACUCCUACGGGAGGCAGCAGUAGGGAAUCUUCCGCAAUGGGCGAAAGCCUGACGGAGCAACGCCGCGUGAGUGAUGAGGGUCUUCGGAUCGUAAAACUCUGUUAUUAGGGAAGAACAAAUGUGUAAGUAACUAUGCACGUCUUGACGGUACCUAAUCAGAAAGCCACGGCUAACUACGUGCCAGCAGCCGCGGUAAUACGUAGGUGGCAAGCGUUAUCCGGAAUUAUUGGGCGUAAAGCGCGCGUAGGCGGUUUUUUAAGUCUGAUGUGAAAGCCCACGGCUCAACCGUGGAGGGUCAUUGGAAACUGGAAAACUUGAGUGCAGAAGAGGAAAGUGGAAUUCCAUGUGUAGCGGUGAAAUGCGCAGAGAUAUGGAGGAACACCAGUGGCGAAGGCGACUUUCUGGUCUGUA
rnacentral:rRNA from 1 species